GAAGGUUGUUCGGUUAUGCCAAAGGUUUGGGGUACGUUGAUCUGAUCUCCUCUUAUAAUUGGAACCCGGACUAGGGCACAUUGAUCUCUUCCAACAGGUCUCAACAUUGCCCCAAAAGGGCUCUCUCUACCUCUACGCACAGGCUUUUCAUUCUGAUGCUUGCAUUGCAUCAAAGCUUCUUCUUCGGUGAUGGGUUCCGAUGGUCUUUGCUGUUUGAGAUGAAGACAUUCUCCAUAUCUAGGUUUCAACUAUAGAUGCAGGGGAAUUGUGAUGACAUACAUAAACCUGGUAAAGGGGCACAAUCAACACCCACAAAAUGCUGUUAGAUGACUGCUCUUGCCAGAGACUACCUGUGCCUAAAAGGUGGGCAUCCCAAUUGGAAACCCCCUAAAAAACAAAGGAUCUGGGUGAGAAAACUGGAUGGAGAAGUCUUUUUCUGGGAGUAAAUAACAAUGCCUCAAAGUUAUGUGCCUUACUUAAGGUAUGGAGAGUUUUUUAUAAGUCAAAACUUGAGUUCUUACGUUAUUUGUUUCCAUUGUGUUAAUAUUCUAAAUGCGUGAGUAAUUUAGUUUUUGGAUUCCUUGAGUGUGUCUGUUGACCUUUAUUACAUGCUAAAAGGAGAUUGACUAGUGCACAGUAUGUUGGGAUGAAAAAUGCAGUUUAAAUUGGGAUCAUGCUCGAAAAUUUUCUCCUAGCGCUCAUAGUAGGAGGAUGACUAUCAUAAAAAGACUAAAGAUUACAGCCUUCUGAAGCAAGCCAUAGUUUGUUUAUUUAAGUGCUUAAUAGCAUGCAAGAUUUUAUGGGAUUCAUGUUGUAAGUCAUUUCCUUGGUUCUUGAGAAGUCUGAAGAUGUAUGUUCAGAGUAGCAGCAUAUCUGAGGCCAGAUUGUGAUCAUGGUAUCAAGCUCCUUUGAAGAAGAAUUACAGAGUCGUAAGAUUCUCAAAGUCCUGUAUAAGGUUCUGCCUGGCUAAUUGAGUAUUAUUUCAUUUGACUGUAGACCUUUUUUUUUAUUGGGAUAGAUCAUAUUUCAUGGUUGACUUUUCUCUUUUGGUAGGUAUUCUCGUAUUGGUUAACCUUAUACAAAUAAAAUUUGACGUUGCAUGCCAGCCAAGUCCAUGGCCAGGUUUGCUCAAGAGGUUAGCAUGUUCGGUUAUUUUGACUGUAGAAUGUAAUUGGAAAUGGUGAGCAAAAGGUAAGGCAUUCAUGAACUAAAUUUAACCAUUGACUGUUGUUCCUCUUAAGAAGUGGGAUCUAUAUGUAUAUUGCAGUAGCAAUACCUGCCGAAGCAAUGGUAAAUGUUCAAGGUGGAUGAUUUCAUAUUUCUCUAUCUUUGUUUGAAAUUACUUUCGCAUUUUUACUGGUCUUUUUGCUAAAGUUUAA